UGGAUCUUGGAUAUUCAAAAUGCAUAUUCCUCGCUCACGAUGAACUGCAUUUUUUGUGCCAAAACUAUAUCUGGCGGGAGGAAAGUCCGGGCUCUGCAGGAUACGAUGGUGGGUAACGCCCACCAGCCGCGAGGCUCGGGAAAGUGCCGCAGAAAACAAACCGCCAGCAGACUCCUGUUUGCUGGUAAGGGUGAAAAGGUGAGGUAAGAGCUCACCAGCAGGCCAGGCAACUGGCUUGGCUUGGUAAACCCCAUCGAGAGCAAGGCCGAACAGAAGAGAGUCCGCUGGAAACAGUGGCUGGGGGCGAUCCGCCUCGGUUUCUCUUCGGGUGGGCUGCUAGAGGUGCCAGGUAACUGUCGCCGUAGAGAAAUGAUUGCCGCUUUUGAGAAAGUUUCUCAAAAGAACAAAACCCGGCUUACAGGCCCACUCA
rnacentral:RNase_P_RNA from 1 species